rnacentral:rRNA from 1 species
CACGUAGGCGGAUUAUUAAGUGAGGGGUGAAAUCCCAGGGCUCAACCCUGGAACUGCCUCUCAUACUGGUAGUCUUGAGUUCGAGAGAGGUGAGUGGAAUUCCGAGUGUAGAGGUGAAAUUCGUAGAUAUUCGGAGGAACACCAGUGGCGAAGGCGGCUCACUGGCUCGAUACUGACGCUGAGGUGCGAAAGUGUGGGGAGCAAACAGGAUUAGAUACCCUGGUAGUCC